GAUGAAGAACGCAGCGAAAUGCGAUAAGUAGUGUGAAUUGCAGACUUCAGUGAAUCAUCGAAUCUUUGAACGCACAUUGCGCCCCUUGGUAUUCCAUUGGGCAUGCCUGUUCGAGCGUCAUCCAAACCCCUCAAGCCUGGCUUGGUGUUGGGCGUCUGUCCCCGCCCCGCGCGGGGACUCGCCCCAAAUCCAUCGGCGGCGGCCCCUCCCGGCUCCCUCGCGCAGCACCAUGCGCCCACGGGAGCCGGGAAGGCCUGCGACCCGCAAGGACGCCCCCUCGUUUUGACCUCGAAUCAGGUAGGGAUACCCGCUGAACUUAAGCAUAUCAAUAAGCGGAGGA
rnacentral:misc_RNA from 1 species